ACAAAUAUUCUACGCGGACAAUGUAGCGACACGAGACACGCAAAUAGCGAUACAUGCUCUAACACCCUCGAGCUUUUAUCAAUUUCACGAGAGAAAAAAAAGUAGGCCAAUCGAAAAUAGUGCUCGAACUAACAGCCCGGCUAUUUACGUCUCGAAUGGAACUGACAAAAAAAGAGGCAGAGCAGCAGUGCCGAAAACAAUACGAAUUCGCGUAAUGGACAAGCGCACAUCGACGAGCAUCAUAAAAUGGAUCGGGAGGGGAUCGUUUGUAACUUUAGCCCGGCGCAUAGCGGCGUUUAUGGGAGUUUUUGGUUCAACACGUGCAGCAACGGUAUAUAGCUGCGUGUAUGCAGCGGGCGAGCGGUAAAAUUCAAUGCACGGAAUAGAGAGGCCUUUUGGAAAACAGGAAACGGUGCACUUUCUGCGUAUGCAAAUUGAUAUAAAAAAAGUCAUGAAUAUUUUACAUUUAACUCUGAAAUAUACGAUUCAACUUUGUAGUAAUUAUCGCAUGCAAUUAUCUCAUUUUCCAAAUAUAGCGAUCCAAAUGAUCAGCGUCAAAUUUAUCUGUCGGAUAAUUACACCAUCAAUCGAGACUCUAAUCAGUUGAUGGAAAGUGUGUUUGUUACGUUCAGCCAAUCAAUGCCCGCAAAAUCUCAUUUGGCAUGUAUACUGACAAAGGGCCACAUCAACGCAAAAACAAAAGCGGACGGCUCUCCAUAAGCAAAGCGCAUUUCACAAGAGCAACUGGCACACAAAGAGCUGCAGCCCUGCAAUCGUGUCCCCGGGGGCAGCAAAAUUCGAAUCUGUGCUAUCGCGUUUCAGCGCCAGCUGAACGACUCUGUUGACGUCGUUUGUUCAAGUCCCGCAAUUACAAACGAGCGACGAAAGCUGCAUCGGUGUACAAUAGACUUGUGGAAAGAGAGGAGAAACAAAAGCAGAAACGAUUGUCGGCCGAGGGCAGAGACUCUGUGGUUCGAACUUGUCGCGUCUACUGCUGUCGACUUUAGGUACCUGCAGUAUUCUGCUCUUGUUGUUUCUCCUACUUUUCUGGGAACCGACUUUUGCCUCCGCGUAUUUUUCUCUGCACCAAAGUUUCGCUCUAUUGAUUAUUGACUGUGCCGGGGUGAACAUUUCCCGGUGGUUGUAGAUACUUUUCACUAAAUUCAUUUAAACGACUAUCGAUCACCCGUUUUCAUUAGUUAACGGAUCACCAUUUUUACUCACAUUAUGUGCAAACAGCUUUAUCGCAUAUGCGUCAGUCUUCGGUAUACUUGUGGUCGAUCGCGUCAAAAUUUUACAAAUUUAUUUUCUAACGGAUAAUAAUAACCUGGAUUUCGAGCUGUACUCGCUGUGACGCGCUAACAUAAUGAAAUAUCGAUGCGUUCCGAAUGUUAUUAUUCCGAACAUUAUUAUCGACGAGAACACAUAAAUGCAUGAUUAAUCGUCAAUCGCAUCAGCGAGUAUUCGAUUGUCAUCGCCAUUCGAUAAUAGAGCUGUAGCGAAAUAAAUUUAAUUAAUUAAAA